GAUGAACGCUAGCUACAGGCUUAACACAUGCAAGUCGAGGGGUAACGAGAGGAAAGCUUGCUUUCCUUGUCGACGACCGGCGCACGGGUGAGUAACGCGUAUCCAACCUGCCCCCAACUAGGGAAUAACCUUGCGAAAGUAAGACUAAUACCCUAUAAUUUCCUCAGAUGACAUCUGACGAGGAAUAAAGAUUUAUCGGUUGUGGAUGGGGAUGCGUCUGAUUAGCUUGUUGGCGGGGUAACGGCCCACCAGGGCAACGAUCAGUAGGGGUUCUGAGAGGAAGGUCCCCCAGAUUGGAACUGGGACACGGGCCAAACUCCUACGGGAGGCAGCAGUGAGGAAUAUUGGUCAAUGGGCGGAAGCCUGAACCAGCCAAGUAGCGUGCAGGAUGACGGCCCUAUGGGUUGUAAACUGCUUUUAUACAGGAAUAAAGUUAGCCACGUGUGGUUAUUUGUAGGUACUGUAUGAAUAAGGACCGGCUAAUUCCGUGCCAGCAGCCGCAGUAA
rnacentral:rRNA from 1 species